rnacentral:rRNA from 1 species
UACGGAGGGUGCAAGCGUUAUCCGGAUUCACUGGGUUUAAAGGGUGCGUAGGCGGCCAUCGCAAGUCGACUGUGAAAUCUCCGGGCUUAACCCGGGAAGGUCAGCCGAUACUGCGGGGCUAGAGUGCAGAAGGGGCAACUGGAAUUCUCGGUGUAGCGGUGAAAUGCGUAGAUAUCGAGAGGAACACCUGCGGCGAAGGCGGGUUGCUGGGCUGACACUGACGCUGAUGCGCGAAAGCUAGGGGAGCGAACGGG